AUUGUUUGACACGCGUUGCUAAAAUGGACAAGUGUAGUGAUUGAACAAAGUUAAAAGAAGGAGUUAAUAUAGAAAAGAAAACUUAGAUUAGUAGUUGGAUUAGGCUCUGUUAAUUAUGGAUUAUGGAGGGUACUAGCUGAGAGACAGAGACAUGAACGAAUAGCAGAAUGGAACUGGGGGAGGGGAGGGUAUAAAAGCAGGAAUAGGACAAAUUGCUUUGAUUUUGCAGCAGAGAUCAAUUGAUGGCAAGUUUAAUUGAUUGAUAAUAAUGGUAUUAGGAAGAACAAAAAUGUAUGGUUUGGUUUUAUAAGAAGGUUUUAAACAAUAAAACAAAAUAAACUAAGAAAAGUGUUUGUGGUUGGAUUUGGUUUUAUUAGUGUGAAAUGAAAUUAGGAAGUACUAAAGUUGAGAGGAUAGAUUAAUAGUGUGGCCACCAAAAGAUGUUUGUGUUUCGUUUUAAAUAAAUGAAUAUGAUGAUUAUUGUUGUUGUAGGUAUAAUUUUUUUGAAUAAGCAAAAUUUAUUAAAGAGUGGAUUUGGCACAAGGUGUGCUAAAUUCACUACUCAAAAGUAUAA
rnacentral:lncRNA from 1 species